rnacentral:sRNA from 1 species
UUGACAGCUCUUGAAAUAAAACACCUUUAUUUGUCUACAAAACAGGUACAGAAGAGAGACGGAAGCAGUGAAAACUUCGCCACACUACCCCACCAUGUGACUCAUCCCUGACCUGGAGGGGAUCACUCCCAGUGUUGAAAGGGGAGUUCAGCGUACAUGCUCAUACCAUUGACUCA